UGCGCUACGACACUUCUCUCCGCCCUUUGUUCAAGUCGAUAUGGCAGUGCAUCGGCUCGAAUCCAUGUCUCUCUCCCGGUCUUGUGGCUGACAACUUCUUAGGAAUCAUCAUUGUAAGCAAGAUUACCUUCUACAUCGUGACUGUGCCUUCACUUAAUGUUUUCCCUUGCUAUCACUUUGUGUAAUUAUUAUUAUCUCCGCUGCCCCAUGCAUCCCUCAUCCCACACUGCACCAGUAAUCACUGAAAGCUAGCCUUGCAGGAGCACAAGAACUCGACAUAUAUAUAUGAUUGGAUUUUCAAUGACUUACCAUCGACGAAGAUGGUAUAGUGUCUAAGAGGAGGUUUUCAUCAUCUUGUAACAGGUUCGCUAUUAGAUUAACUGCUUCAGCAUUCCUUCACCCCUCUUUUAUGAAAAGUUAAGAAAGAUUCAGAUUAACAAGAACGAUUUAUGAAAAUUAGGAAACUAUGUUGUUUUAUGCUAAAAGCUUGACGAAAUAUGCUUGCACAUUAUAUCAGUACUCUGGUCGCUCAAAAUAUUGGAUUUAAAUGUAUAUAGUUGGUGUGUAAUUAUAUGUUAGUCAUGUUUUAAUGUGGUUUUCCUCAUAUAUAUGGUUGCUUAUUUAAGUUUAUUUAAUUUAUGAUUCAGAAACUAGGAAAUUAUAAUAUGGAAAUUUAAUGUGCAAAUAAAUUUUUGGAAGCAACAGACAGAUCAAGUAAUUGCUUUCUUCUAAUUGUGUCCGGUAUAAAACAUUGCUCCAGAAAAGACGGCUGCGUUAAUAUUGAAACUGCUGCUUUCUGUUAGAGGUGUGUCCAAAACAUUGGAGAAGGAAUCAGGUUGCCAAAUCGAUCACUGCUAUCAUGUACUCAUGCUAGGGAAACGGUCCACUUGCUUGUGGGAUUGGAAUAAGAAACUUGUGGGAUAUCAGAGCACCAAAAUUAGUUAGAAACUGAAUCACUUUACACAUACUGUAUGAAACUUGCUACACACAAUAUUAUCUGAUCACAUUUUACGCUCUGUACGUAGAGUGUUUCAUUCCAUUAGCUUAACUUGUCAGUAUUUCUUUUUGUAUCAUGUACAGGUGUAUGGUCUGUUAGUGACUGCGUUUCUGUUGAUUAAAGAAUUAAAAAGGAAACUUCACGUAUACAAUUUGAGAGAGUAAAUACGUACAAUGUAACCUUACUUGUGGAAUUGGAAUCUGGUACUUAGUAUACAAAACAAAUAUAGUUGGAAACUGAAAUAUCUUUAUAUACUACGACACGUAUACAAUUUGAGAAUUUCAUGCUUUUAGUGACUCAUUUCUACCAAGCAAAUACGUACAAUGUAACCUUACUUGUGGAAUUGGAGAAUCUGGUACUUAGUAUAGAAAACAAAUAUAGUUAGAAACUGAAUAUCUUUUUAUACUAUGUUGACACGUAUACAUUUUGAGAAUCUCAUGCUUUUAGUGACUCAUUUCUACCGAGUAAAUACGUGGAAUUGGAAAAUCUAGUACUAGAAAACAAAUAUAGUUGGAAACUGAAAUAAUAUCUUUAUAUACUACGACACUAGACCUGAAAACAUGGAAAAGGUGGGCAGUAAUUCAGUCUUAUCACAUUUUGUGUUGUACAUGGACUGAUCGACGUAUCAUAUGCCCUUAGGUUAACCUAUUGUCAGAUUUGCAAUGAUUUUUGUCCUUAUGUUCAGGUCUACAUACAUAGCUUGUCAAAUUCGUGCACUCCAGAGAAAACUGACAAAAAUGACUGGUAUAUGCAUUGGAUUCUUUAAAACAUGUAAUAAUGCUGGUCUGUAAAAAUAAUACUAUGCACUGCUGCGAAAAACAUUUUACUGUAAAAUCACUCUGCAAUACUAUGAAAAUCAGUUUUAGAGGAGUUAAAUGCACUAGGCGGCCCUCAGACUUGUAAGGCAGUUUCAAUGUUUGGACACACCUCUAAUAGAAAGCAGCAGUCUCAAUGUUAACCCGGCUAUCUUUUCUGGAUCAACGUUAUACCUGAUGCAACCAGAAGAAAGCAAUUCCUUGAUCUGUAUGUUGCUUCCAAAAAAUUAUUUGCACAUUAAAUGUCCAUAAUAUAAUUUUCUAGUUUCUGAAUAGAAAUUAAAUCAACUUAUAUAAGAAACCAAAUAUACAAGGAAAACCACUUUAAAACACCACUAACACAAUUGCAUACCAUGUAUAUACAUUUAAAUGCAAUACUUUGAACGACCACAAUAUCGAUAGUGACUUUAAAAAUACAUUUUUGGAUCCCUAAACUUAUAAAGUAGUGUUAUAUAAGUGCAUAUCAGCCACAUGGGUGUUUCUUAAUGAUGGCACAUGCCAAGGUGACAUGCUUUUUUUAUAUUUAACUCCUCCCACUUCCCUCUUCUCUCAUGCCAAUCUCAACCUGUCUAGUGUCACGACUGUCCACAAGCAGAGAAGAGGGAAGCAAUAAGAAGAAAGCAUCUAUUCGUGAGAGUAGAAAAAAGAGAAGAUCUUAAAUAUAGGAAAAUAUGUCCCACUAGUAUGUCACAUUAGUAAGAAACAUUCAUGUUGCUGACAUGGAUCUAUGGCGCAACACUUAACAAGUUUAGAAACUCAGAAAUGUAUUUUUAAAGUUCUUGGACCUAAAUGAUACACCCUUACAAGUUUGAGGGCCGCCGAUGCAUUUAACUCUUUUAGAGGUAGUCAGAAUUAUUUCCAGAGGAACCACCUCUGUCUAUAUCUCUAGAGAGCGUCCAUAUAUCAUUAGAAGCGAUAUAAACAACUUGUCGAAUAUAUGGGCCUAGGGUACCAUCACCGCCCGUGUACUCAACCAUGCAUGUCUACGGGCCGAAGACAAUGAAGGAUGAGGCCCAAUAAGGCCAGAAAAAUCCACCAGUUUGGAGGACACGUCAUUCUAAGAAUAGGAUAGAAUCAUUUAAUUUGUUGCGUAUUUCAUAUAACAAACUAGAAAAUCAAUUAGUUAGCUGAUUGGAUCCAUUGUAAUUUGUAACCUACCCCGUCGGGCCUUCGAAUCAGGAUCCCAUCUUCUACAUUACCACAUAGAGCUACACACAGCAGCCCCUCCGAGCAUAUGAAUAAAGAGAAAUCCACCUUCAAAAUCGACAUAGGGACUCCAUGACCCCGAACCAGUAUAAUUCAUGUGUUUUGUGUGCUACCAUUAAUGAGGACAUGACCUCCAUAUAUACGACCAUGAUUGGAGAAUCGCCAGGAGGCCGAGGAUCAGCAAGGGUGUCCAAAACGAGGAGGUGCAGUGCUUUCAUGCACUCAUGCUAGGGAAACGAUUAACUUAAUUUCUUCUGAAAUUGGAAUAAGUAACUUGUGGGAUGUCAUCAGCGCAAUAAAAUUCGAAACUGAAUCACUUUACACAUACUGAGUGAACCACUCUUGCUACACACUAUAUAUCUGAUCACAUUUUUUGCUCUGUAUGUAGAGUGCUUCGUUCCAUUAGAGCCUAACUUGUCAGUAUUUCUUUUUGUAUCAUGUAUAGGUGCACCACUUAAAAAGUUUACAGAUCCAAAAAUGCAUUUUCAAAGUUUGUGAACCUAAGUGACAUACCCUUAAGUUUGAGAGCUGCUGGUGUAUUUAAUUCUUUUUAAAAGGUAGUCACAAUUGGUUCCUAGAGAAACUGUGUGUCUGUCUAUAUCUCUAGAAAUCGUCCAUAUCUUAGGAGCUAUUUAUACAACUGCCUCUGAAAAUCAAUCUAUAGAGACAUGACAAAACGUUAGGGCACGUGGAAAUCAAUUUCUAAAGAGAGUUAGCAUUGUUAGCAUCUGAUUUUUUUUUUCAAACGUGCAUGCCAAAUUUGAAAAAAAAAGUUUAACUUUAUCACAUUUGAUACACAUUGCUUUAUAUUCGCUAAGAUAGCUAUAUAUUCAUUUACUUAUAUAUGUGCUGUCAUCAUACGAAUUGCAUCAUUAAUGUAUAUACACAAUCGAAUCCAGUGCAAGCAUCAUACGGAAUAAUAAUAAUGGUACACUAUAUAUAUGCAUAUUGUCAAUGACCAAAAUUUAAGAGUUCCCACUAACACGAAGAUUCCUGUUGUCUGGUUGAGGCGAUUGCGUUGACGAUGUUUAGUCGUAGAAUAUACCUCUCUUGUAUAUGCUUUGGUCAAGCAUAUAUACACAUGUAGAUGUCCUCAAUUAUAUCUAGGGGGUCAUCAUUCACUACUACAGAUCUUCAAAACACUGUUGGUUUAAAAAGCCUAUCAGCGUCAGUUUUUGAACCAGCAACAAUGAUGUGGUUUUCAGGAAUUCAAAAAAAGGCUGAAAAAUAGGAAAAAAAAUUAAUACCAGGAGAGACCUCACUAGAUAGGCACAGUGUGCUUCAUGGCCACAAGCGCUCAAACCUUGGACCUCCUGCUCCGCAUGUUCAACACAUAACCACUCCACUUGUAAGACAUUUGUGUCUCUUUAGGAUAUUCGUUCUCCCCAUUUAUAUCACUUAGGAUAUAAAAUGAAUUUAUAUGAAAAAGUUCUCAACUACAAAGUUUUAUAGCUUUUAUAAAUCUAUAACUUUUUUUUGUUCAUUUCUCCAUCUGAGGCCAUCUGAAGAAUUUGAAUUUCAAAUAUGAGAAAAUUCAACUAUAAUUUUCUCAGAUAGAUGAUUUCAAAUAGAAAAGUUUUCAACUACAAAGUUGCAUAACUUUUCAUGAUCUACAACUUUUGUUUUUGGCAUUUAUCCAUCCAAGGUCAUUUGGAAAAUUCAAAUUUUAAAUUUGUAAAAUCAAACAUAAUUUUCGUUAGAUAGAUAAUUUCAAAUGAAAAUAUUAUCAACUACAAAGUUGCAUAAGUUUUGAAAUUUACAACUUUUGUUUUGGUCGCUUCUCCAUUUGAGAUCCUUAAAUAUCACUACACACUCACUUAUGACUAUGGAAUAUAUGGCUUUAUUAGUUGGUGUUAACUUCUAUGAAAUCAUGUGAAUCAAAUAGAGGGACAUCAUAACGAGUUCAAUCAAAGAAGUUAUAAACUACAAAGUUGCAUAACCUUUCAAGAUCUAUAACUUUUGUUCUAGGCACUUCUCAAUCCGAGAUCCUUAACUACCACCACACACUUACUCAUCGCUAUAGAGCAUAUAGACUCAUUUGGUAUUAACUCUAUAAACUCUUGUGGUGUAUAUUUAGACAUCCAAACUCAAAUUUAAAAUUUCAAACUACAAAGUUGUAGAUAUCAUCGAGUACUACAACUUUGAUAUAAAGUUUAUCUUCAUCGAACAUCAUAUGAGAAAGUUAUGAAGUUUUCUUGCGGCAUAUAUAUCACUGUCGGUUCAAGCUAAGAACCAACAGUGAUGGUAUCAAUGUCAAUUUUUAGCUAAAAUUGAUAAUGAUGACUCAAUGUCAUUGUCGAUUCUUGGCUAAACUCGAUAUUAAUAUGAGCCAAUAGUGAAGACCCGAAUAUCAAUGUCAAUUGGUCCUAUCACUGUCGGUUGAGCUAACAGUGAAUGUCUGAUAUGUAGUAGUGGUUGUUGUUUCCUCUUCUUAAUAGGUUAAUAACCAACUAGUCGAGUUACAUAUAUAAGGAAACUACUCUAAUGACAGUAUCAACUAAAUGGCAACUGUAGCUACUACACAAGGAAACAAAUGCACAACUAAAUUAGCUUGAGUAGUAGGAAGCAAACCACAACGCAAACAAUGAUGACAAUAAUUUCUCUCGAGAUACGGUUCCUUGCCGGUUACAUACACCCCUUGAGGCAAGUCCUUGGACCGCCAUUCCUCUACAAGCCUCACGAGCACACAAUCUCAACCCUCAACGUGGGUGCUUGUUUAUGAUAUGGCUAAUCAACAAUAUACUAUAUAUCCACACCUCGUGAUUCCACUAGAGUUCCUGUUCAUGAACUCCCAUGGGGAGAAGUACAAAGCCCCUCACAAAUCCACUGUCUAGAGCCCAUGCAUGAUCACCAAGGGGUGCUCAAUGAACCUAUAUAGCUCCAAGUCAUCUAGGUGGCAGCAACCACUGAGAGAGUAACAAGAAUCACCAUAGUAAUAAUGACAAACUAGUGCCACAAGAUACAAAUCUCAAUGCAAUGUUCUACAUUCCUCUCCAAUCUCGCUCAAAGUUAGUUCCAUGCAAGCAGGGUGAGAGAGAGAUGUUCAUGAGCGCUAGGGGUGAGUAGUAGUGAUCAGUAGAAAUGGCCAUUGGAGAACAAAAGUAUGACCACACGUCCUAUAUAUAUGGAAUCCCACUCAAACUAGUUGUUUCCCUUUUUCACUAAUUAUUUGCAAAGGUGGCAGUCCAACCAUGCCCCCUAGCAGUCUAAUCGCGGGUCACCCAACACACUUGUAGCAAGCCCAAUGGUCAAUUAUAUGGCGCAAACUCCCCUCUCUCUUUUCUCUGAUGGACCUCUGGUUGGCUCAAAAAGUUACUACAGAAACUUUUUAAACGGUACCGAAGAACACAGUGCUGAAUGAAAAACACCAUCGAAGAAAGUGCUUAGUCAAUUUGAGCGUUGUGCCUUCUAUACAAGCUCUGGCCAAUCAAAUUAGCCAAGCGCUAAGGGACAGGCCAAAGUGUCAUACACAAGAGCCAACCCUUUGGUGAAAAAUGCCACCUCACUUUGGGAGAAAGUGCUACUACAAACAUCUUGUUGGCAUGCGCCUUGGAUUAACCAAGGCGCAACCGCCUCAGUCCAAAGGUCGUGGUUAAUACAUGAACUAUGGAGGCAGUACAAAUACCCACCUUGUAAACCAAAUAAAAAACAAAAAAGGGAAAUCCAUGGACAAACCCACUGAGCCCAUCCAUGGCUGCAGGAUUUGCAUGUGCAUGUUGCCGCUCGUUUAGACCGCUCUCCACUAGAUCGACUACUAGGAGAGGACCUACUGUGAGGACAGGGCACAGAUCGGCUGUCGGGAGGGGUCCCAUAGCCAGAUUUGGGCCCCCCAAAGCUACCACCACCAGAUUCGCCCACCCAUCGUCCAUCCAUGCAAGACUUGAGCAUGAAGGACGCUCUAGGCCUUGCUGCCACGGUCCCGAGCGUAGAGGAGAGUUGAGCCCUCGCCGCUGGCCUGAGUGGUGUGGAAAUUCCUAAUCUAAAUACUUCUCCUAGUGCGUCUGUAAUUAGUUGCAAGAAGGCAAUUGAAUGGCCAAUCCAAUUUGGCUCCGUUAGUAAUAUUUUUGGGAAUGAUAUGAUGAUGACUAAAGGCACUCAUGCUGCAAAGAAGGUUGCUAAGUUUAGUGCUAAACCUAAUCUGCCAUCAGAGGAUAGUAUAGCCAUCAAGCCAUCACUAAUAUUCAAUUGCAUUGCUGAAAGGAAUCGCCAUGAUGCCCUUAUUGCAGCACCAGGUAAUUCUAAAAUUUCUUAUCUGAGAACCGGUUGUUUGGGUAAGGUGAAGAACAAAGAUAAUUUAGCUUCACAUAUGCCACAAAAAUGGCCUUUCAAAGCUAUAGAAUUUCUGGGCAAAGGCAACAAUAUUGUUUCGACAAACAAUAUAUAUUAAGUUGAUGGUUAAAUAUUGACUUUAGUGACCAUCAACAAUAGCCUUGACAAUAGAAUUAAAGGCUUGACACACAUAGCCUAAUCUCUAGUGCUUCCCCACCAAGGGGUGAGCACAUCUCUCAAAGCUCUUUCCAAAACAGACAACUUCCGGCGUGUGUUCCGCUGAAUACAAACACCUUAAGCAUAUGAGUUAGCAUUUUCAAAACAUUAUUUUUCAAAGCUUUUCACUUGCUUUGUCACCACACCAUUAGGUCCAAUACACAUGCAUUAUUAGUCCUCACCUAGUGGCAAUAGAUAACCGUUGUUGAUUUAGAGUUCUCAUAACAGUACGACUAUCUAUGCUAAACCAAACCAUGAACUCUAUUGCACCUUAGCUGGUGAAACAAAACCCCUCUUGCAUAUCCUUUGCCUUUGGGCUUGUUUUCAUCUCCAACUCACUUCUUCUCCAAUGUUGAGCACUUGCACAUGGUAUGAUCAUCAUCUCCAUCAUCUCCUAGCCUUGCUCAAGUCCAUAUGGAUCUAGCUCAAUCAUCUCCAUUGAAAGCAUUAUUAGACCACUAGUUGUCACUCAUUUAACUAAACCAAACUAUGGCUUUCAAACAUAUGUAGAUGCAUGUGUUCCUAACUUAUAUGGAGAGAUCAACUAGUUACUUAAAUUUUCAAGGUGACUUCUAUACCUAUGGGUGACCCUCAUGAACUCUCAAACAUAAUAUCCACAAUGGACACUAUCUCAACAUUGCUUGUGGCAUUGUGUUGAUGCAACAUGUUUUGAUUUUAUACCAAGAACUUUGGUAGAAAUAUAAUUGUAUCAAUAAUACCGAUCAAAGUAAAGUAUUUUUAUUUAAAUAUAUAUCUUCAUUGGUAUUUCUAGAUGAAAGCAUCUAGGCCCCUACUAAUGAGUUUCGGUGAUUGACGACAAUGUUGAUUACUAUGACUAACGUGUGUUUUGUAGAGGCUAAGUCAUUUGUGUUAGGUCAUGGUAAUAGUGAUCGAUGGACUAUAACGUUCAUGCCGACUUAUUGGUGGAAAUCAUUUCGGUUUUCAAAGGAUUGAUGGACAUCGUCAACUAGACUAGGUCUAGGUGCCAUAUGGUGUUGAAGGGCACUUAGAGUAGUUUAGGACUUUGUUUUUCCUUUGACCAUACUAUUAAGGGGGGCAUUGAGCGGGUAGUUUGACCUAGACAAGGCAUUAGGUUUAGGUGUGGUGCACACUUGGUAAACCUAGUACUAGGCAGCUCUGAGAGAGUCCUUAGAUCGAGAGAACCAAACUUUAUUUUGGAAAGAUCAUGAUUCGAAGAAGUUUUGGUGCUGAGACAGCACCAGAUGCAGGCACCGGACGCAGCAGAGCCACUGUUGGCGUGCCCAGUGAGUGCUGACUUGGGUCAGCGCGUCGAGGUGCCUAGGGUUAGGCACCGGACUCACCGAGGAGCGUCCGGUCCCGUACCUAGAGAGGUAUGCAAUUCGCCCUCUCAUUGGACGCUGUGUGGGUGGGACACCGGACCCAGUGUUGGUGCGUCCGGUGCUCGGCGGCUGCAAGUACAACUAGCCAUUAAUGGGGUACCGGACGCUCUACAGAGCACGUCCGGUGCAACAUUGAGCGCAUCCGGUGCACCCGUUUUCUGAGGAAUUCAGGUGGCCAGCCCUUGGACUUGAUGGGAAGUAUUUGUACUCCUCCACCUCAUCCAUGGGAGCUCUCUUGCCCAUUUGUUUAGCUGAGAAACACCUUGUGGUGCAAGAGAGAAGCAAGAGCCUAGAGAGGAUUGAGAAUUGAGAGAUUUCUCGAGUGAAUCCUUCUCUACUGAGUUCUAAGAGCUCAAGUGUGCAUCCACCACUCUCUAGAGCCUUGUUUGGGUCAAGUAAGAGUUCUUUGCUUGUUACUCUUGGUGAUCGCCAUCAUCUAGACGGUUCGGUGGUGAUUGGAGGCACGAAGACCACCCAGAGUUCUUGUGGGUAGCUCGUGUCAAGCUUGUGAGCGGUUUUAGGUGAUUCACCAUGACAGAGUGUCGAAGAAUCAGCCCGUAUAGAGCACUUGGUCCUUGCACGGACCAAGGGGGAGCAAGACCCUUGCGCGAGUGUUCCAACGAGGACUAGUGGAGAGUGGUGACUCUCCGAUACCUCGGCAAAACAUUGUCGCGUUCUUCUUGCUCUCAUCCUUUACUUUCUAGCACUUACUUUUAGUACUUUACAUUUUUAGAAUUGUCAUGCUAGAAUAGGAUUGGACACUAGUACACAGAGGUACUAUACAGGCGGUUCUAAACCCCUUUUUGCAGGCGGUUUGGCGAACCGCCUGUGAUUGGUGGCCUGUGGAAAUAAAUUUUUCCACAGGCGGUAACUGAGAACCGCCUGUGGAAAUGUAUUUCUACAGGCGGUUCAGUUAUGCCAACCGCCUGUAGAAAUCUUUUUCCAGAAAAUAUGAAAUCGGUUUUUAAAAAUAAGAAAAAAAAUAUUUUAUUACAGGGAAGGCUCAUUGGCUAUUCGCCCGCCCGUCUCCGUCUCAAGUCGCAAGUCGCGCAUUAAAACAUUUUAUUACAGGGAAGGCUCAUUGGCUAUCAGCAUGUCCAUAUGAGUUUGAGAACAGAUAAGUAGAUCAAGGCCGACAAUCCAAAAUUGCAGAUGGAAGUCUGCUGACUUAAUAAACUAAGAAAAGAAAGACCUGAAAUCUCCUUUUAACAUCACCUGCACUACUCCCAUGAGCAAAAUAAUGACCUGAAUGAGGAUCAAAUGUUGUAGUGUAAACCUGAAUAAUAACAGCUUAUGCAAAAGAUCAUUCACACAUUAAAAAAAAUAUAUACACAAGGAUCUCUCUAAAUUAGACUCAACAUGGUUCAUACUAUACUCAAGUAAGCUCACACAUUUCCCCACCAAUCCCCUAAAUUUCAAUGCUAAUUAUGCUAGAAAAACACAAUGGGCCGCUGGGCCACCCCUCUUUUCUUCUGUCCUCACUUAGCCACACACUACUCGUGAAGGAUCCAGCCUCUUCGCCAUAUAGAUGUGUCCAGAUAACUCAAAAGAAGGGUUACCUAGCUGGCAACAAUGAUUGUUGCUAUCCAUGAGUAAUGGACAUGGUGGGAUGCAAGACUUACGUAAAAUCUAAAACUAUGAAUCAUCAAACUGAAUGAUAAAAGUCUGCUACAUAUAUAACUGAAUGAUCAAAUUGAAGAAUUGUUUGAUGGCAAAAUAACUGUCCAGAAAAUUACCUCUUUCAUGUUAUAGAUAUGUCCAUACCUGAUUUAGGCAACAUGAUUCAAAAUUACAGAAAAUAUGACCUUGUUCACCACUCUGAGCCGCCUGUCAAAGCACACCUCAGUCAUAUACAUUUAUUAGUAUUCUUGUUAUGUGUCUGAAGUAGCAUAUACAAAUUACAACAUGAGUCAAUGUGCUAAUUCAAUUUGAAAUGAUUAUAGCAAUGUGCUUUAAUUAGUUGACUUAAUAAAAACUAUGAAAUGACUUCACGACGACAUACAAACUUAAACAAAGACGAUAAACCCCAGCAUCCGUAAAAUCUGGUAGCAUAUACUGAUCAUGGACAACACUUGCAAGUAACUGGCCACUACCUAAAAUCAAGAGCUUCAACUACAUAUACUGAACCUUCACAUGAACAGGCCUGAAAUAUUUUUCCAUGACAUACACAGAUGCAAUAGAUUAACUGCUUGUCCCUAGAACUAAUCAAGUUCAAGGUCAGUUUUAACAAACAACCCAAAAUUCAGAAAAAGACUCUUUUAUCACUGAGAAUAAAAAAAACUGAAACCACAUGACAAUAGCAUCCGGUCUCCGUCUCACAGAUAGAGAACAUCAUGCUAGAUUAACUGCAUAUACUUUGAGUAGCCAUUAGGAAUUUCCUAUAUCUAUCCUGAUAGCCGUCGCCAGCACUUGAGGACUGAGCUGGGGUGCAGGCUGUCCAGCGAGAUGUCAACGACAGCCCAUGUUCCAUCAGCGUUCUGCUUACAGUACCUCACGAAAUGCUUUCCCUAGUCGGCAUCAGUGGGGAAGGCACCUGAAACUCAACUGACAUCUUGACUGCCUGUCACAACGAUAUGAUAUAUGCAUUGCACGACAUGAAGGCCUAUGGAAUUAUGGCUCUGACCAACAAAAAAUACUUUAGGAUAAUAGUUGAGCAAAGAAAAAGGAUAAUUCAUUUCGCAAGAAACUUCAUGUAAUGAAAAAUACAUAUAUCAGAAAAAACAAAUGAAGAGCUACUUAAAGAGUACUUGCGGCCGGAGUGUGAACAACAUUCCUAGCCUCUCUUACUAAUACAUAAUGACAUUUUGAGAAUUAAAAAAUGAGAAAAUACAAAAUCUGUAGCAAAAGUAAAGUGACGACUUUUGGAAGAAAGGAUCGAAACACGACAAUUGUCUGGAGAAACGCAACCAAGUUCUUCAUUACCAAGUGAAAUUCAGACUUACGGAAGAGAAGAAGACAGACCCCUGCCAUGGCGCGCAGGUCAAUGGGGGGGGGGGGGGGGGCGGCGGGAGCCGUGAGUGAGGUUGCGAGCGGCAGCGUGGGGCCCGAAGCCGAUGGACAGCGGCCUCGGUGGUGGAGCGGUCAGCGGAGCUGGUGGGUGCCGCGAGCAAGGGGGCACGUAUGGCCUGGUCCUCGACGGACACCAUUGGAUCCAUCCCAAUCGCCGCUGCCCUGCGCAAACACUAUCCCUGCAGCCUGGCGACGGAGUCCCACCCCCACGGCAUCGCGCGUGGGAGAGAGGAGGAAUGGCGCCGCGUGCGGGGGAAGGAGUCAUGAAGCGGAGGCGGCAGUGCUGGUGACGGCGGCGCUAGGGAGAUGGCGAGGUGCAGCGCGAGGGAGAUCGCGAGGUUGCUGGGAAGAGGGUCCACCUGCCGGCGUCCAUAUUUGUCGCAGGGGAGGCUCGAUCCCUUCGCGGAGGAUCGCACGGGUGAUGGAGAGGUGAAGCGAAAUUUUGUCGACCAAAAUAGUAUCUUGUCUUUAGUGUUUUUAUAGUAGUUGGGGGGAGAGGAAGAUAAUCCCUUGAGGUGUUUGUUAAGGCUUUGUUUAGAUCCAAAAUUUUUUUGGAUUUUAUCAUUGUAGCAUUUUCGUUUUUAUUUGAUAAACAUUGUCUAAUCAUGUAGUAACUAGGUUUAAAAGAAUUGUCUCGUGAUUUACAUGUAAACUGUACAAUUAGUUUUUUUUUUAUCUAUAUUUAAUAUUUUAUGCAUGUGCCGCAAGAUUCGAUGUGAAGGAGAAUCUUGUAAAGUUUUAGGUUUUUAGUCGCAUCUAAACAAGGCCUUAGGCAUUGCGUGUGUGCUGUCCUCCACAACUUUGGCCCCUUUGUGGUCUCGGAUACACGGAGGACCAUGGUCUGGAGAUCUUCGUCUCUAGAGUUGAAUAAUUUUUGUUGACACAAAAGAACUAUAUUAGUUUGUUUAGGAUUGAUUACAUCGUCACAUUACAAGCACCUACGUAUAUCUAGAAACUCUAUAUUUGACCCAUAUUUUGUACACCUUUAAAUCUCAAAUCUAAACAUAUAUGACGAUUUAUAUUGGUAACCGCACAGGCAAAAAAUUAGUAAAAGUUAGAUAUCUAACGAACGUCCAAUAUUCCUACAAACGGAGUUGAGAAACUUCUUUCUUAUGUCUUUCUUUUUUGUUUUUCUGCCACCAAAGAAUAAAAGAGACUCAUUUAAAACUAGUUCUCUCUAGUUCUUCACGUGGUUCUUCACUUUGAUGUCACCAUUCGGAAAACUAAGUCUCUAUGUCUUCAUGCCGAGGAAGUUGCUGACAUUGUAGUUGUUACCCUUAUCUUCAAAAGAGCCAUCAUGGAAAAAAUAAAUCUACUAUGUCCUAACGUCAUCGACGAGAGAGAUAAAUCCCCAAUAAAAAACUUGACAUGGAGAAACUCUAAUGCUAAAUGACUCAAUCUAAUAGAAAAUCUAUUAAGAGGGUGUUUGGUUUGGAGGUGUUAAAAUUUAACAGGUAUUAUAUAUCUUUCAUUUUAUUUGACAAUUAGUGUCAAAUUAUAGACUAAUUAGGUUUAAAAGUUUCGUCUCGUAAAUUAGUCUCUAAUUGUAUUUUUAGUUUUCUGUAAAUAAUCUAUAUUUAAUAAUCGAUAUAUGUAUCCAAACAUUUAAUGUGAUAGGUGCUUAAAAAAUGUACAUAACCAAACAUGCCCUAAACAGAUGCAACCUCCGGCUAGAUGCUGAAGGGAAAAGAGAGGGAGACUAGCAGUGGUGGAGGGGGUGGCGCCGUGGCAGCCGGCAGGCUGGCAGCGGCUCGGCUUGCCUGCGCAAAUCUCCCGGUGGCUCGCUGGAGGAAGCUGCGAUCGACUUUUUUUUCUCUCUAGG
rnacentral:lncRNA from 1 species